AGUGGCGGACGGGUGAGUAACACGUAAGAAUUUGCCUUUAGGAGGGGGACAACAACUGGAAACGGCUGCUAAUACCCCAUAUGCUUUCGAGUGAAAUGGAUUUUUCCGCCUAAAGAGAAGCUUGCGGCUGAUUAGCUUGUUGGUGAGGUAAUGGCUCACCAAGGCGACGAUCAGUAUCUGGUUUGAGAGGAUGAUCAGACACACUGGAACUGAGACACGGUCCAGACUCCUACGGGAGGCAGCAGUGGGGAAUUUUCCGCAAUGGGCGAAAGCCUGACGGAGCAAUCUCGCGUGAGGGAUGACGGCCUAUGGGUUGUAAACCUCUUUUUUCAGGGAGGAACAAAAUGACGUGUACCUGAAGAAUAAGCAUCGGCUAACUCCGUGCCAGCAGCCGCGGUAAGACGGAGGAUGCAAGUGUUAUCCGGAAUCACUGGGCGUAAAGCGUCUGUAGGUGGUUUAAUAAGUCAACUGUUAAAUCUUGAAGCUCAACUUCAAAAUCGCAGUCGAAACUAUUAGACUAGAGUAUAGUAGGGGUAAAGGGAAUUUCCAGUGGAGCGGUGAAAUGCGUAGAUAUUGGAAAGAACACCGAUGGCGAAGGCACUUUACUGGGCUAUUACUGACACUCAGAGACGAAAGCUAGGGUAGCAAAUGGGAUUAGAUACCCCAGUAGUCCUAGCCGUAAACAAUGGAUACUAGAUGU
rnacentral:rRNA from 1 species